GCCGGGAUAGCUCAGCUGGGAGAGCAACAGACUGAAGAGUGGGAGCACACCCGCUGUCUUCUGGAGGUCGCGUGUUCAAUCCACGCUCCUGGCA